GAUGAACGCUGGCGGCGUGCUUAACACAUGCAAGUCGAACGAGAAGUGAAGACGGAAACCUUCGGGCGGAAGGCUUUAUUUCGAGUGGCGGACGGGUGAGUAACGCGUGGGUAACCUGCCUCAUACAGGGGGAUAACAGUUGGAAACGACUGUUAAUACCGCAUAAGACCACAGCACCGCAUGGUGCGGGGGUAAAAACUCCGGUGGUAUGAGAUGGACCCGCGUUCGAUUAGCCAGUUGGCGGGGUAACGGCCCACCAAAGCGACGAUCGAUAGCCGAUCUGAGAGGAUGACCGGCCACAGUGGGACUGAGACACGGCCCAAACUCCUACGGGAGGCAGCAGUGGGGAAUAUUGCACAAUGGGGGAAACCCUGAUGCAGCGACGCCGCGUGAGUGAAGAAGUAUUUCGGGAUGUAAAGCUCUAUCAGCAGGGAAGAAAAUGACGGUACCUGAGUAAGAAGCCCCGGCUAACUACGUG
rnacentral:rRNA from 1 species